rnacentral:rRNA from 1 species
UACGUAGGGUGCAAGCGUUGUCCGGAAUUAUUGGGCGUAAAGAGCUCGUAGGCGGUUUGUCGCGUCUGCUGUGAAAACUCGGGGCUUAACCCCGGGCUUGCAGUGGAUACGGGCUGGCUGGAGGCAGGCAGGGGAGAACGGAAUUCCCGGUGUAGCGGUGAAAUGCGCAGAUAUCGGGAGGAACACCGGUGGCGAAGGCGGUUCUCUGGGCCUGUACUGACGCUGAGGAGCGAAAGCGUGGGGAGCGAACAGG